rnacentral:rRNA from 1 species
CCUACGGGAGGCAGCAGUGAGGAAUAUUGGUCAAUGGACGAGAGUCUGAACCAGCCAAGUAGCGUGAAGGAUGACUGCCCUAUGGGUUGUAAACUUCUUUUAUAUGGGAAUAAAACGUUCCACGUGUGGGAUUUUGUAUGUACCAUAUGAAUAAGGAUCGGCUAACUCCGUGCCAGCAGCCGCGGUAAUACGGAGGAUCCGAGCGUUAUCCGGAUUUAUUGGGUUUAAAGGGAGCGUAGGUGGAUUGUUAAGUCAGUUGUGAAAGUUUGCGGCUCAACCGUAAAAUUGCAGUUGAAACUGGCAGUCUUGAGUACAGUAGAGGUGGGCGGAAUUAGUGGUGUAGCGGUGAAAUGCUUAGAUAUCACGAAGAACUCCGAUUGCGAAGGCAGUUCACUGGACUGCAACUGACACUGAGGCUCGAAAGUGUGGGUAUCAAACAGGAUUAGAUACCCGAGUAGUC